CACGUAGGGGCCAAGCGUUGUCCGGAUUUAUUGGGCGUAAAGAGCUCGUAGGUGGUUCGGUAAGUCGGAUGUGAAAUCUCCAGGCUCAACCUGGAGGGGUCAUUCGAUACUGCCGUGACUAGAGUUCGGUAGGGGAGUGUGGAAUUCCUGGUGGAGCGGUGAAAUGCGCAGAUAUCAGGAGGAACACCCGUAGCGAAGGCGGCACUCUGGGCCGAUACUGACACUGAGGAGCGAAAGCGUGGGGAGCGAACAGG
rnacentral:rRNA from 1 species